GAGAAGACCCUGUGGAACUUUAAAUUUAUUGUCACUUAAUUCCCUCUUAACCUUAACAAAAACACAAAACUUGAUUUAAAUUUUCAGCUGGGGYGKCUGKGGAGAAAAAMUCACCCUCCACGAAGAAUUAAAUCUGAGAACUACUACUCUAAGAAUUAACACCCUYWACUCUACYUGACCCRAUUUUAUUGAUCAACGGACCAAGUUA
rnacentral:rRNA from 1 species